UACGAAGGGGCUAGCGUUGUUCGGAAUCACUGGCGUAAAGGCGCGUAGGCGGCCAUAUAAGUCGGGGUGAAAGCCUGUGGCUCAACCACAGAAUUGCCUUCGAUACUGUAUGGCUCGAGACCGGAAGAGGUAAGUGGAACUGCGAGUGUAGAGGUGAAAUUCGUAGAUAUUCGCAAGAACACCAGUGGCGAAGGCCGGCUUACUGGUCCGGUUCUGACGCUGAGGCGCGAAAGCGUGGGGAGCAAACGGG
rnacentral:rRNA from 1 species